UACGUAGGCGGAAAUCUAAGUCAGUGGUGAAAUCCCGCAGCUCAACUGUGGAACUGUCAUUGAUACUGGUUUUCUUGAAUAUAGUUGAGGUAGGCGGAAUGUGUAAUGUAGCGGUGAAAUGCUUAGAUAUUACACAGAACACCGAUUGCGAAGGCAGCUUACUAAACUAUGAUUGACGCUGAGGUACGAAAGCGUGGGGAGCGAACAGGAUUAGAUACCCUGGUAGUC
rnacentral:rRNA from 1 species